rnacentral:tRNA from 1 species
GUUAGCUCAAUAGGUAGAGCAUCAGAUUGAAACUCUGACUGUAACAGGUUCGAAUCCUGUACCAACUCCA